GAUGAACGCUGGCGGCGUGCCUAAUACAUGCAAGUCGAGCGAACGGACGAGAAGCUUGCUUCUCUGAUGUUAGCGGCGGACGGGUGAGUAACACGUGGAUAACCUACCUAUAAGACUGGGAUCACUUCGGGAAACCGGAGCUAAUACCGGAUAAUAUUUUGAACCGCAUGGUUCAAAAGUGAAAGACGGUCUUGCUGUCACUUAUAGCUGGAUCCGCGCUGCAUUAGCUAGUUGGUAAGGUAACGGCUUACCAAGGCAACGAUGCAUAGCCGACCUGAGAGGGUGGUCGGCCACACGGGAGCUGGGACGCGGUCCAGACUACUACGGGAGGCAGCAGUAGGGAAUCGUCCGCAAUGGGCGAAAGCCUGACGGAGCAGCGCCGCGUGAGUGAUGAAGGUCUUCGGAUCGUAAAAAUCUGUUAUGAGGGAAGAACAGAUGUGUAAGUAACUGUGCACAUCUUGACGGUACCUAAUCAGAAAGCCACGGCUAACUACGUG
rnacentral:rRNA from 1 species